CCCGAGCAAGAUGGAGGCCGCGCCGAGGCCGCCGCCUGGGCCCAGGCAGCUGCUUCUGGGAGCGCCGAGCCGCGGCGCCUAGGCCGUGCCAGUGCAGGACCCGUUGUCCCCGACCCGGCCCAGGUUGGUCUCCCCGCACCUCCUCCGGGUUGUUGCAGGCUCCGCGCGGGUCCGGCCUGGGCGCGGGGCAGCAGUCCCCCCACCCUCGGCCCUACUCGGGCCCGUCCUCUCCCCGGCGCCCCGGGGGACAGCUCCUGCCCAUCUUCAGCCCCUUGCAGCCCAGUCUGCCCGCCGGCCCCAGUAUCUCAUCCCCUUGGCCUGGAAAGUCCCUCUUUCAGCCCCGACCCGCCAAGCCUAGGCUCCCUCAGUCUAUAUCCAGCCUUACCUUCUAAGGAUCUCCCUCCAGACCCUGCAGUCCCAGCCCCCGACUUUCCUAUACCUAUUCCACCGCUUCGCCCUCUUAGACCCGCAUACCAGCCCUGUCCGUGUCCCAGUCCCCAUAUCACCUUCCUGGUCCCCCAGUAUUAGUUCUUAUGUUCUCUUCUUACCCCCUCAUGGAACCGUCCACCCCCUUCCCCAUAGCCCCUUUAUAGUCACCUUCCCUCUACUGAUACCAGUCCCCCAAAUUUCCUUCUGAGCGACAUAUAUACAGCUCCUCUACUAAGAAUCCAAAACCAGUCCCCAGCCUCCGUUCCAUCUCCCCCAUGACCCCCUCCUGUUCCCCCACUACCGGCUCCCAAGCCCUCUCCUCGACUCUCCCAUAACUGCUUUCAAGCCUCCUACCGAUUCUAGCUACCAUAGCCUCAUCCCUGCCGCCUCAUACCAGCUCCCCAACUUUCACAUGGCCCCUUCCUAGGCCCCCCAAAUCUUUGCCAGUGCCCUCAGACACCGCCCCAACACUCUCACGAACCCCUUCUAGCCGCCCCCCCCAUACAAGUCCCUAGACCCCCCAGCUCCGCCCCAGGCCCCGCCUCGCGAGUUCCUUGGCUCAGGGCACCUCUCGCGUGCGUCCCCAGCUCCCGCCCCGCAACCCGGCGGUCGGUCCCGGGCCGGCGGCCCCAGCCAGCCCCCGCCGCCGGCCCCGCCCCCGGGCACCAUGCUGCCCUCGCAGGAGGCCUCCAAGCUCUACCACGAGCACUACAUGCGGAACUCGCGGGCCAUCGGCGUGCUGUGGGCCAUCUUCACCAUCUGCUUCGCCAUCAUCAACGUGGUGGUCUUCAUCCAACCCUACUGGGUGGGCGACAGCGUGAGCACCCCCAAGCCCGGCUACUUCGGCCUCUUCCACUACUGCGUGGGCAGCGGGCUGGCGGGCCGCGAGCUCACCUGCCGCGGCUCCUUCACCGACUUCAGCACCAUUCCGUCCGGCGCUUUCAAGGCGGCCGCCUUCUUCGUGUUGCUCUCCAUGGUGCUGAUCCUCGGCUGCAUCACCUGCUUUGCGCUUUUCUUCUUCUGCAACACGGCCACAGUCUACAAGAUCUGCGCCUGGAUGCAGCUCUUGGCAGCUCUGUGCCUGGUCCUGGGCUGCAUGAUCUUCCCCGACGGCUGGGACGCCGAGACCAUCCGGGACAUGUGCGGGACCAAGACGGGGAAGUACUCCUUGGGGGACUGUUCAGUGCGCUGGGCGUACAUCCUGGCCAUCAUCGGCAUCCUCAACGCCCUCAUUCUCUCCUUCCUCGCCUUCGUGCUGGGCAACCGGCAAACAGACCUGCUGCAGGAGGAGCUCAAGCAGGAGAACAAAGGCGAGUGUGCCGGGCUGCGGGGCUGGGCGGCUGGCAUCGGCACGGCCUGCUCCUCGAGGGUCGGGACAACUUAAAAUAAAAGUAGUAAAAGGGAUGCAUUCCAAACAAUACAAGCACUUUGAAAACAGUUUGACAUGAUCCAUCAGAGCUGAACAUGUGCACGCCCUAUGACCCAGCAAACCCACUUCUGGGUCUAAACCCACAUCUGGGUCUAAACUCAAGAGAAAUGUACAAAAAUGCUCAUGGAAGCAGUUUUCAAAAUUGCAAACAUCUGAAAACAACCUAAAUGGCCCAUCAACAAGAGAAUGGAUAAAUAAAAGGUGGUACAUUCACAUCACAGUAAAUAGUACCCAACAAUGAAAAUGAAUGAACUUCUGUUAUGUGUAACAGAAUGGAUGUGGCUUGGAAACGUGAUACUGAGAAAAAAUACAAGUUCCAGAAGAUGACAGAGUGAUAUUUUUUAUUGAGUUCAAAACCAAGCAAAACUAAGCAAUCCAUGACUGUAUGUGUAUAUAUAUAUUUUUAAAGCAAAGAAAUGGUAACAACUACAAGAGGUAGAAUGGUGAUCAUCUCUAGUUGGGAUGGAAGGGGAGAAAACCAGGGCCAUCAAUGGGGGACACAUAGGUAUAUGCAAAUUAUUGGUAAAAUUAUAGUUCUCAUAUGGUUUAUUCACAGGUAUUUAUUACAAUAUGUUUUAUAAUUAGUUUAUUAGGUAUAAACUUUUGUACAUAUCAAAUAACAUAUUUAAAUACAAUGAGGAAAAAAAUUACACAUAAGGCCAGAGUCCCCCUCUUCACCUUCCUUAUGGGUGACCUCGGUUAUCAGACCCUUUUCUAUGCAUCUACAUACAUUAUAGGUCCCUUUAUAAAAUAUAUAGUGUUAUGUGCUAACAUAAAUGUCAUCAUCCUAAAUGAAUCCCUCUUAAGAUUGCUUUUAAUGCUCCACUCUAGAGCAUGUCUUAAAGAACCUUGUCAUUUCAGAGAGAUCCCUUUUUAUCCAAUGCUUAGUGUUACAUAAGAUGAAUGAACUGUAGUUUAUUUAACCAUUCUCCUUUUGGGAGAUUUUUUCCAGUUUUUCACUAUAAUUGACAAUGCUACAAUGGUCAGUGCAUGCUACAAUCUUGGUACAUGUCUUUUUAUGCACACGGGCAAGUGUUUUCUUGGUAUCUUUCAAUAAGUGGAGGUGCACACAUAAAAUUGUACGAUGGUGCCAGACUGCUUUCCAAAGGAGUGGUGCUGAUUUGCACUCCCUGAAGCUGGUUUCACAAGUAGAGUCUUCUGCCACGCUGCCUCUGGAUCAAAGAGAGACACUGCAGAGGUGGACAGAGCAGCUCUGUAGAUUUUGUGAGCUCUACAAUAAGCUCUGUGCUGAGGCCAGGAGGCGAUGUCUCCGGAUGGGGCGUCCUCCCCUGUCCCGUGGCUCACUCGCAGGGACCCUGAAG